UACGUAGGGCGCAAGCGUUGUCCGGAAUUAUUGGGCGUAAAGAGCUCGUAGGCGGCUUGUCACGUCGGGUGUGAAAGCCCGGGGCUUAACCCCGGGUCUGCAUUCGAUACGGGCAGCUAGAGUGUGGUAGGGGAGAUCGAAUUCCUGGUGUAGCGGUGAAAUGCGCAGAUAUCAGGAGGAACACCGGUGGCGAAGGCGGAUCUCUGGGCCAUUACUGACGCUGAGGAGCGAAAGCGUGGGGAGCGAACAGGAUUAGAACCUACCGAGUC
rnacentral:rRNA from 1 species